GCAGCACGGUCUUCAACCGGCGACCCAUCUUGGCUGUGAAGCCGUGGAAGAUGAGAUGCGGGUUCGACUCCGACACG
rnacentral:tRNA from 15 species